ACCUGCUUUUGUUAGCCUGGGCUUGUCAGAUCUCAGAAGCUAAGCAAGACUAGGCUCAGUUAGUACUUGGAUGGGAGACCACUGGGGAUGCCAGGUGUC
rnacentral:rRNA from 1 species